GAGGGCUCAGUAAAGCUAAAUUUUCGUUUAUAUUGUUUUUCGGAUGUCUCUGGUAAAAAAGCAGGAGGAGUGGACUCUACUCGACCAUAAAGAACGGGAGACCCUAGAGAAGUCGCCAGUCGAGUAGGUGUAGUCUCUACUUGACCGCUUUCUGUCUCAUUUUCCAUCUCAUCCAAAGUGUAAUCGUAAAACUUUGUCCUAUGUUGAGCUACGGUUUCAGGUACAAGGACUUCUCCAACGGUUUCUAAGUUUUUCUCAUUUUGAGAAACUGACAAAGGUGUAUCUUUUAAAGUUGAAAGAGUUGAUGGUAAUAGAGAAGUAAAUGGGGAAAGAAUUUGGGAAGAAUUAGAUACAUUCUGAGGAGUCAACAGCUUUUCAUGGUCCGAUAUAACUGAUUGACGAUCGUAUAAGCGUUUUAACACUGUAUGUGUCUGCUUGGGUGAAUAAGGCGACGAUAUCACCUUACGAGAAUCAUGUUGAAUAAGUUCAUCAUCCGAAAUGUCCUGGGAACUCUGUUUUGCAAAAGCAGCUUGACUAGGUACUUCAAACAACUGCGUAAGACUUAGCUCCUCAACAGCACCAUUGUUAUUCACAUCCUUAGAAUAACUAAACUCCUUAUUAGAAUUAUCAUUACUCCUAGGAGGGGAAGGAUUAAUUGAAGCAUUCACUUUUGAAUAAUUGUUACGAGAAAUUGCUGCUUGUGCUCCAAAUACACGUUGAGAAUUUAUGUCAAGGCCAAAUCCUUUAUGCAAAGAGGUAUCAUUCACCUCCAUAAUAUUGUUAAACUUUCAAACAAAAUAUUGAAAACAUCUAAAAUACCUCACAAUUGUCAGAACUACAAAUUUAACCAGGGCUUAACCCAAAUUUCGAUUUAUCUGUUGUAAGCUCUGCAUAAGUAACACGUUGCACCGUUACUUUAUAUGAAAGCAGUUAAGAACGUUUAGUUACAACACCAGCUAUUUGGCUAAUCAUAUAUAUAUAUAUAUUAAUAUGGAAAUGAAGGGCUCAAGGUAGAAAAACUUAUUUUCUAAUUUUAUUAAUAAUUGUUUGACCUGAUGUACAAACUACAGCAUGUUUCCACUUUUAUUAAUACGUUCGAUAGGAGAUUUAUGUUGUUAGAAUCAGUAAUGUUGAAGAAGUAAUUUUAAAUUUGAGUUUUGAACUUUUCAUCUUGACUUUUUGAAACAAUCAUAGAAAA